GGUAGUACGCUCAUCUCCAAAGCCAAUGCCUCGCUGGGGUGUUGAUGCUAAUAAACAUACAUUGGGCUACCGCGAUGAUUUUUUGAAGAUUUGUCAUUAUCGUACAACGCGUUGGACGGACCGUUCCACGCUUUACGAGGUCGUGAUGAAAGGAAGAUUUUGGUUGGAAGCGUACGAAGGACAUUUGAUGACAGGCAAAUGUCUGAGCACAUUUCUCGGCGAGAUGAGAGAAUGAUUCGCUGGAAAUAACUGGAAUGGACUUUUACAAUGAGCCGCAAUAAGUGUUAUCAAUUUUUCUCAGUGGGACGAUUAGACAGACACACACCAUGCAAGUACGGCAGCUCAUAUAUUGGUAUAGGAAAUUGC